rnacentral:sRNA from 1 species
CCCAGAGGCCCUUAUGGGCAUUUUCCUCCCUGACUUAAGCCACCCUUCGGGGUGGCUUUUUUUUGCUCCAUC